rnacentral:rRNA from 1 species
GAUGAACGCUAGCGGGAGGCCUAACACAUGCAAGCCGAGCGGUAUUGUUUCUUCGGAAAUGAGAGAGCGGCGUACGGGUGCGGAACACGUGUGCAACCUGCCUUUAUCUGGGGGAUAGCCUUUCGAAAGGAAGAUUAAUACUCCAUAAUAUAUUGAACGGCAUCGUUUAAUAUUGAAAGCUCCGGCGGAUAGAGAUGGGCACGCGCAAGAUUAGCUAGUUGGUGAGGUAACGGCUCACCAAGGCGAUGAUCUUUAGGGGGCCUGAGAGGGUGAUCCCGCACACUGGUACUGAGACACGGACCAGACUCCUACGGGAGGCAGCAGUGGGGAAUAUUGGUCAAUGGGUGCAAGCCUGAACCAGCCAUCCCGCGUGAAGGACGACUGCCCUAUGGGUUGUAAACUUCUUUUGUAUAGGGAUAAACCUACCCUCGUGAGGGUAGCUGAAGGUACUAUACGAAUAAGCACCGGCUAACUCCGUGCCAGCCGCCGCAGUAACAC